UCAAUUGCUUUUUGUAUUUCGAUCUGGUCUCAGGAGAAUUCGAAAACAAACAUGAGUUGUUGAUAUUGAAUGUGACGCAAACAACAAAGUUAUAUCUUACUUCAUGGAAAAGAGUUUUCUUUGAAAUGAUAGAAAUUGGAGGCAUUUACCCCUUACUCAACGACAGAAACUUUAAAUGUUUUGAUAAUUCUACUGAGACUACCACUGAACUAGUACCAA